UCAACCGCCAAAGGGGUCGCGACCCACAGGUUGAGAACCGCUGAUCUAGAAGAAGCCAUCCUAUGGACAGCUGUCUUUAAAGCUAGAAAUAAAUGCUAAAAUCCACGUAGCCACUCCAGGUGGAGGAGGGGAAACCCCAGAUGCAGCUGUAUCUUAUGAUUAGAGAGCUCGCUGCAGUCUGAUUCCCAGAAGGUAGCUGGUCAUUCCGGGAAUCCGAAACCCAACAGUGAACCACACCACCGAGGCAGGGCCCUAAAAGGGUAAUAAAAGCCAAUGAAGUGCAUUAACCUAUGGAACAUUUUGAGCCCUGAAGACUGAGAUAAUGGCCCCAGAAACAAGCAUUUGAGGCCAAAGUCAGACCACGCUAGGUAGAGUAGACAUGCCCGAAAGGACAGACCCCGUGGAGCCUGGAGAACAGCAGGCAGACUUGUCUGUGAUCGUCCACGCAGGAGCCCUGUGGCCACAGAACGGUGGCCGACAGGAAGUUUGAUCUUGGGUCCCAGGCACUUUGAAGGAGGGUGUUUAGGAUGCUGGCUGCUGAGCCUUUACCAUCAUUACUAUCUCCCCUGCUCCCAGCUCUACUGAGAUAUUGACAUGUAACGUAUGUAAGUUGAAGUGAUGAUUAGAGACAUGUCCAUAUUGCAAAACAUGACCACAAUAAGGUUAGUGAACACCUACCUCUACCCCCUCGCAUUCGCAUGAUUAUGAUUGUGUGUGUGUGUGUGUGUUGAUGACAGUUAAGAGCUACUUUCUCAACCACUUCCAGGCCUGUACUGCAGUAUCGCUAAUUACAGUCACCACGCUGUGCACCGGGUGCCCAGAUCUUAUUUAUCUCAGCGCCGGGAGUUUGUUUUACCUCCAUGAGCGUGAAUGAAAGAGCAUUUUCCUGUGUUUGUGUUCCAUCUCGGUGUUGGGGCUCCAGCUCUCUUUUUUGUUUUAAUUUUACUUGAAAUGGCUGGACAGAGUCAUUCUGUUUGGCAUCGUCCUCAGCGUCAGGGCAAGGAGGAAACCGGAGUGAGGAGCAGGCUAUUUUCUGUUUCUCAUGGAUCCCUCCUCAGCUUCGCAAAAGGCAGAGCUGGGUUCGAAUCUUGGCUCGGCCACUUACUGACCAGGAGUUGUUGACGAAGUUGCCCAUAACCUAUUCCAGUCUCAGAGCUGAAUAUCAGAAUGAUAAAACCUCGCUCCCUUACACAGGUGUCAGGGCUCCACGAGGUGCAGAUGGCUUUGCACUAGUUGCUAGGUGGUGGUUAGCCAGUCCGUACUAUCUUUAAUCUAUUUCAGCAGACUCGGACAGAAGAAUCUGAUUACAUUAGGUUUGCAUGCAAAUCUGCCGUGGCCCCAGGGUCCUUUCCUACCUGAAGUGUGUGUCUUCUAAAACAGGGCCCAAUGUGGAGACAGAAUGGGAACAAAUCAUCAGUGUGGCUGCCAAAAUAUUUGGAUCAACUUUUUAAGUGGAGAAAUGUUCUCUUAAGCUUAGAAUACAUCUCCAUUUUCAUUUCAGGCCUCAGCACACGGCAGUCAUCACAUAUUUAAUAUCGAUGGAGCAUCUACUCUGCACCAGAUAUUACGCUAGGGAAGACUGACAGGGUGGUCCCGCUUCUAAUGGUGCCUAGUGGAUGAUGUGUAUAUUAGAGAGUCACACACAGACAUACAUCAUGAAUUGUGAUAAA